UUAUAUGGGGAGGUGUAGGUCCACUGCAUUCAGAUGUUACCUUAGCCGGCAUUGCAAAAGCUUUUGAUGUUCGUUUGGCUCCUGAUGAAGAAUUUGAAGAAUAUCUAUGGCUUAUUAUUGGUGAUCAGUGUAUUGGUGAUAGGAAUGAGAAGCAACAUAUUUAGAGCAAGUGGAUAUGGAAACGGCAUCACCACUACAUUUGAGGGAGGCUUUUUUUGAAGAUAAAUAUUUAGAGUAAGUGGAUAUUGCAAAUGUAGCAGAAGCAACAUAUUGAUUAUUAGCCCAUGGUAGAACCCAUGAUAAACCUCCUGGUGUUUCCUGAAGACGGUACUCUUCCAUCUAAAACAAGCUGCAUGCAUAUAUGUUCCAAUAUAUUAGAAUAUUUAGGUAGCAAUAUUGAUGAGUUAGAUUGAAUAAUAUUAAUAUUAAUAUAUACCUUUGUAAUAAGAAUUUGUGCACCAACAUACUUGUCAUCCCAAGCUGCAUGCAUAUAUAUUCUAAUAUAUUAGAACUAGUAACAAACCCGUGCGUUCGCACGGGUUCUGAUAUGGGACGCGCAUUUGUUUCACAUAUUAAAAAAAAUAUUAAAAGUAUGUAAUAUUUUUGUGGAAAAAAAUAAGAAUAAUUAACAUUAAAUUGUGCCUAAAAAAAUUCAGGAACAAAAUUGAAAGAAUUAUGUCUAAACAACCUUUUGUAAUUUCAUGUUCCCGUUAAUAAUCAAUAUUUUGAUCAGUAACUUCAUGUUUUAGUUAAUAUUUAAUGUUUUGUUCACGAAAUUCGUUCUCGUUAACUUCAAAAUAUUUUGAUCAGUAACUUCAUGUGUCUAAAAAAAUUUAGGAACAAAAUUUAAAGCACCAAAAUUAAAUUGUGUCUAAACAACCUUUUAUAACUUCAUUUUCCCGUUAAUAAUCAAUAUUUUGUUCAGUAAC